CUGUUAUCCAGGAUACCUGGGACAGCACGUCCCGAGAGUAACUUGGAAGGAGAGGGCACUUAUCGAAAGUGACCAGUGCCUGUGCCUUGUUUGGGGUGGAGCCGAGAGAACAUUUUCUGCGUCUCCUGGGCCAGCUGCCAAAAUUAGGUCAUCGUACGACCUUCCGAUCUGCCUUUAUUAUUCCAAAACCAAGAUGGGGAGGGGGGACGCAGGAAAGGGGCGUUAUUUUACAAGCUAAUUUUGCGUUUUCUUGUCCUCACACUAUUUAAAACAGGUCCCUGGAAAGGUACAUUAAUUGCUAUGUAGAGAACGAUAGAGGCAUUAACGAAGAGAAUGUAAAUGAUCCAGCUAUUUAGAUGAAGAAUUAAAUGUACAGUUUAUCUGGGAAAGAUGGCAAACAAACCACGUGAAAUUAUUUCCAACCUCUGUCUUAAACCAUUCACUAUCUUUUGGGUAAAAGUUGUAAAAGGGAAUUAUUUAACUUUUAAUAGCCAAUAAAAGUACGCAGCUCCAUUCCCUUGAAGCAAGUGCUUCUAAAAAUGAACUAAUUAAAAUUGUUUUCCAUAAUAUAAGCAAAUAAAGUACUCACUGUAGCUGGAACUUUUGCUAUUUAAAUAAUAAAAAUAUGGGGGUUCGAUUCAUGAAUUACUUCAAAUACUUCCAAGAGUGAAGAGAAGAAAGAGAAUCCUUUACACAGUUGCCCCUCAGACAUAGACUAGCUGCAAAAUUAGGGCCCUGAAUUUGCAAACAGAAAGCCCCUGUGUAGUGCAAUGAACUGUUUCAGAGUCUUUUCAGAAGCAAUCCUAUAUUCUAUGGCAUGGGAAAGCUGAAUGUGAAUGAACAGAGACUGUCCAGUUUGACCAAUGUACAUGGCAGAGGGGCAUUGCUGGCACAUGAUGGCAUAUAUCACAUUGGUGGAUGUGCAGGUGGAUGACCCAACACUCUCACAAGUCUUGGGAGACAGGCCAGUCCUUGCCUACAGACAGCCUCGCAACCUGAAGCAAAUACUCACCAACAACCACCUGGUUGGAUGUCUGUCAAUAAUCAAUCUUCAAUGACACCAAGAAUUUUGCAGAAUACUGAACUAUAAAUUAGGUGGUAACACAAAUAUUAUUUUAUGAAGUGGAAAGCACAAAACAUGGAGUUCACUAUUAAUUUACACAGAAGCAAUCCAACUUUUUUUAGUCAUUUUUAAGUUUUAUUAUAUUUCAAAGAGGCUUUGCCUUAUGCUGAAUGCUUGCAAGUGCUAAUCCACCAGUCAAUAUUAAAUAUUAAACACUCUGAAGUCUAUAGCCUCUCUUCACUUACCACUAACUGACAGAAGUUACUGCAAAACUGUCUAAACCUGGAUAUUCCAGUGAUGUUCCUAAAACAUUGUUAUCUUAAAUCUAAGAAAUAACCAAAGUCCUUAGAAAUUCUUUUUAAUCUGUUCUCAGAAUUUGGCAUGCCUGAGCAAUAUGUCCUUGAAAACUUGCUUUAUUUGAAACUAUCUGUAGUGAUUAAUGUAGAAACAAAGAACACAACUGUGAGUGUGAUAAUCCCUAUAUCCAGGAAUACAUUAAAAAAAUAAAAAAUGAACACUUUUUAGAUGGAAAAAUCAUGAAAUGGGUCAUUAUGAGUCAGAAAAAUUAUUACUUUUUUCAUAAAUGCAUAGUACGCUUCCAUUUCUUAAUUAAUGGGUAAUAGUGAUAUUGCUUGUUUGCAGUUGGGUAGCAAAGAUUUAAUGUUUCUUGGCAAAAAUGCUCCAUACUACCCACUAUCCUUCAAGACUAAUUAUUAUAUCUCUCAGAUCUGUUAAAUUAUAUACUAUUAUAUCUGAAGAUGUACAAUAAAACCUUUCUGAAAGAUAUUUUCUGCUAAGCCAUUAGGACCAUAUUCCUUUGGAUAUUGGGCUCUGAAGGAAUGAGCUGCAAGUUAUGUAACACCUGCCUGAGUGAGAGAAAAUUUACUCCAUGCAUAUAAAUGCUCUUUUUUAAACAACUAAUUA